UACGGAGGGGGUUAGCGUUGUUCGGAAUGACUGGGCGUAAAGGGAGCGUAGGCGGACAUUUAAGUCAGGGGUGAAAUCCCGGGGCUCAACCUCGGAAUUGCCUUUGAUACUGGGUGUCUUGAGUGUGAGAGAGGUAUGUGGAACUCCGAGUGUAGAGGUGAAAUUCGUAGAUAUUCGGAAGAACACCAGUGGCGAAGGCGACAUACUGGCUCAUUACUGACGCUGAGGCUCGAAAGCGUGGGGAGCAAACAGG
rnacentral:rRNA from 1 species